GGUCAAGCGAAUAAGCGCACACGGUGGAUGCCUAGGCGGUCAGAGGCGAUGAAGGACGUGGUAGCCUGCGAAAAGUGUCGGGGAGCUGGCAACAAGCUUUGAUCCGGCAAUAUCCGAAUGGGGAAACCCACUGCUUCGGCAGUAUCCUGCAGUGAAUUCAUAGCUGCUGGAAGCGAACCCGGUGAACUGAAAUAUCUAAGUAACCGGAGGAAAAGAAAUCAACCGAGAUUCCCUAAGUAGUGACGAGCGAACGGGGAGCAGCCCUUAAGCUGGAAUGGCUUUAGAAAAACAAUCUGGAAAGAUUGGCCAUAGAAGGUGAUAGCCCUGUAUUUAAAAGGGCCACUCCAGUGAAGACGAGUAGGGCGGGGCACGUGAAACCCUGUCUGAAUAUGGGGGGACCAUCCUCCAAGGCUAAAUACUCCUGACCGACCGAUAGUGAACCAGUACCGUGAGGGAAAGGCGAAAAGAACCCCGGAGAGGGGAGUGAAAUAGAUCCUGAAACCGUGUGCGUACAAGCAGUAGGAGCUCGCAAGAGUGACUGCGUACCUUUUGUAUAAUGGGUCAGCGACUUACUGUUCGUGGCAAGCUUAACCGUAUAGGGGAGGCGAAGGGAAACCGAGUCUGAUAAGGGCGCAUAGUCGCGGGCAGUACACCCGAAACCGGGUGAUCUAGUCAUGGCCAGGGUGAAGGUGCCGUAACAGGUACUGGAGGCCCGAACCCACGUCUGUUGCAAAAGACGGGGAUGAGCUGUGAUUAGGAGUGAAAAGCUAAUCGAACCCGGAGAUAGCUGGUUCUCCUCGAAAGCUAUUUAGGUAGCGCCUCAUAUGUAUCCUCUCGGGGGUAGAGCACUGUUAUGGCUAGGGGGUCAUCGCGACUUACCAAACCAUUGCAAACUCCGAAUACCGAGACGGACUGUAUGGGAGACACACGGCGGGUGCUAACGUCCGUCGUGAAAAGGGAAACAACCCAGACCCACAGCUAAGGUCCCAAAUUUACUGCUAAGUGGAAAACGAUGUGGAAAGGCAUAGACAGCCAGGAGGUUGGCUUAGAAGCAGCCACCCUUUAAAGAAAGCGUAAUAGCUCACUGGUCGAGUCGGUCUGCGCGGAAGAUUUAACGGGGCUAAGCAGUGAACCGAAGCUUGGGGUGCAUAAAACUUGUUUUAUGCGCGGUAGAGGAGCGUUCCGUAAGCCUGCGAAGGUGGAUUGAGAAGUCUGCUGGAGGUAUCGGAAGUGCGAAUGCUGACAUGAGUAACGAUAAUGCGGGUGAAAAGCCCGCACGCCGAAAGCCCAAGGUUUCCUUGCGCAACGUUAAUCGACGCAGGGUUAGUCGGUCCCUAAGGCGAGGGCGAAAGCCGUAGUCGAUGGGAAGCAGGUUAAUAUUCCUGCACCUCGCGUGAGUGCGAUGGAGGGACGGAGAAGGUUAGGUGUACCGGGCGUUGGUUGUCCCGGGGAAAGGCGGUAGGUUUGGAUCUUUGGCAAAUCCGGGAUCCUUUAAGACCGAGCACCGAGACGAGCCUUUAUGGCGAAGUCACUGAUACCACGCUUCCAGGAAAAGCUCCUAAGCUUCAGCUCACGAAGACCGUACCGUAAACCGACACAGGUGGGUAGGAUGAGAAUUCUCAGGCGCUUGAGAGAACUCGGGUGAAGGAACUAGGCAACAUGGCACCGUAACUUCGGGAGAAGGUGCACCCUUUUUGGUGGCUCGUGCGAGCUAUAGCUGAAGAGGGUCGCAGAAACCAGGCCGCUGCGACUGUUUAUCAAAAACACAGCACUCUGCAAACACGAAAGUGGACGUAUAGGGUGUGACGCCUGCCCGGUGCUGGAAGGUUAAUUGAUGGGGUCAGCCGCAAGGCGAAGCUCUUGAUCGAAGCCCCAGUAAACGGCGGCCGUAACUAUAACGGUCCUAAGGUAGCGAAAUUCCUUGUCGGGUAAGUUCCGACCUGCACGAAUGGCGUAACGACAGCGGCGCUGUCUCCACCCGAGACUCAGUGAAAUUGAAAUCGCUGUGAAGAUGCAGCGUUCCCGUGGCAAGACGGAAAGACCCCGUGAACCUUUACUAUAGCUUUACACUGAACGUUGAGUUCGUCUGUGUAGGAUAGGUGGGAGGCUAUGAAACUGUGGCGCUAGCUGCAGUGGAGCCAUCCUUGAAAUACCACCCUGUCGUGCUUGACGUUCUAACCUAGGUCCGUUAUCCGGAUCAGGGACCGUGUAUGGUGGGUAGUUUGACUGGGGCGGUCUCCUCCUAAAGAGUAACGGAGGAGCACGAAGGUACGCUCAGCGCGGUCGGACAUCGCGCACUGUGUGCAAAGGCAUAAGCGUGCUUGACUGCAAGAUCGACGGAUCAAGCAGGUACGAAAGUAGGUCUUAGUGAUCCGGUGGUUCUGUAUGGAAGGGCCAUCGCUCAACGGAUAAAAGGUACUCCGGGGAUAACAGGCUGAUACCGCCCAAGAGUUCAUAUCGACGGCGGUGUUUGGCACCUCGAUGUCGGCUCAUCACAUCCUGGGGCUGUAGUCGGUCCCAAGGGUAUGGCUGUUCGCCAUUUAAAGUGGUACGCGAGCUGGGUUCAGAACGUCGUGAGACAGUUCGGUCCCUAUCUGCCAUGGGCGUUGGAAGUUUGAGAGGGGCUGCUCCUAGUACGAGAGGACCGGAGUGGACGAACCUCUGGUGUUCCGGUUGUCACGCCAGUGGCAUUGCCGGGUAGCUAUGUUCGGAAGCGAUAACCGCUGAAAGCAUCUAAGCGGGAAGCGCGCCUCAAGAUGAGACUUCCCGGGGCACAAGCCCCCUAAAGGAACCAUGUAGACUACGUGGUUGAUAGGUCAGGUGUGUAAGUACAGCAAUGUAUUGAGCUAACUGAUACUAAUGAUCCGUGCGGCUUGACCAU
rnacentral:rRNA from 1 species